rnacentral:rRNA from 1 species
CUACACACGUGCUACAAUGGACGGUACAAAGAGCUGCAAGACCGCGAGGUGGAGCUAAUCUCAUAAAACCGUUCUCAGUUCGGAUUGUAGGCUGCAACUCGCCUACAUGAAGCUGGAAUCGCUAGUAAUCGCGGAUCAGCAUGCCGCGGUGAAUACGUUCCCGGGCCUUGUACACACCGCCCGUCACACCACGAGAGUUUGUAACACCCGAAGUCGGUGGGGUAACCUUUUUGGAGCCAGCCGCCUAAGGUGGGACAGAUGAUUGGGGUGAAGUCGUAACAAGGUAGCCGUAUCGGAAGGUGCGGUUGGAUCACCUCC